rnacentral:rRNA from 1 species
ACGGCCAUAUCACGUGGAAACACCGGUUCCUGUACGAUUACCGAAGUUAAGCAACGGCAAACCUGGUUAGUACCUAGAUGGGUGACCGCUUGGAAAUACCAGGUGCUGUAAG